rnacentral:rRNA from 1 species
UGGGGAAUAUUGGACAAUGGGGGGCAGCCCUGAUCCAGCAAUGCCGCGUGUGUGAAGAAGGUCUUCGGAUUGUAAAGCACUUUCGACGGGGACGAUGAUGACGGUACCCGUAGAAGAAGCCCCGGCUAACUUCGUGCCAGCAGCCGCGGUAAUACGAAGGGGGCUAGCGUUGCUCGGAAUGACUGGGCGUAAAGGGCGUGUAGGCGGUUUACACAGUCAGAUGUGAAAAUCCCCGGGCUUAACCUGGGAGCUGCAUUUGAUACGUGUAGACUAGAGUGUGAGAGAGGGUUGUGGAAUUCCCAGUGUAGAGGUGAAAUUCGUAGAUAUUGGGAAGAAACACC